rnacentral:rRNA from 1 species
UACGUAGGGUGCGAGCGUUAAUCGGAAUUACUGGGCGUAAAGCGUGCGCAGGCGGUUAUGUAAGACAGAUGUGAAAUCCCCGGGCUCAACCUGGGAACUGCAUUUGUGACUGCAUGGCUAGAGUGCGGCAGAGGGGGAUGGAAUUCCGCGUGUAGCAGUGAAAUGCGUAGAUAUGCGGAGGAACACCGAUGGCGAAGGCAAUCCCCUGGGCCUGCACUGACGCUCAUGCACGAAAGCGUGGGGAGCAAACAGG